AUUGAACGCUGGCGGCAUGCCUUACACAUGCAAGUCGAACGGUAACGGGCCUUCGGGUGCCGACGAGUGGCGAACGGGUGAGUAAUGCAUCGGAACGUACCUUUCAGUGGGGGAUAACGUAGCGAAAGUUACGCUAAUACCGCAUAUUCUGUGAGCAGGAAAGCAGGGGAUCGCAAGACCUUGCGCUGAUUGAGCGGCCGAUGUCAGAUUAGCUAGUUGGUGAGGUAAAGGCUCACCAAGGCGACGAUCUGUAGCGGGUCUGAGAGGAUGAUCCGCCACACUGGAACUGAGACACGGUCCAGACUCCUACGGGAGGCAGCAGUGGGGAAUUUUGGACAAUGGGGGCAACCCUGAUCCAGCCAUGCCGCGUGAGUGAAGAAGGCCUUCGGUUGUAAAGCUCUGUUGUAAGGGACGAAUGUCGCGAUACAAUAAUACGGAUUGCGAAUGACGGUACCUUACCACGCAAGCCCCGGCUAACUACGUGCC
rnacentral:rRNA from 1 species